rnacentral:rRNA from 1 species
CCCUUAGAUGUUCUGGGCCGCACGCGCGCUACACUGAUGCAUUCAACGAGUCUAAAACCUGCUCUGAUAGGGGUGGGUAAUCUUUUGAAUGUGCAUCGUGAUUGGGAUAGAUGAUUGCAAUUUUUCAUCUUCAACGAGGAAUGCCUAGUAAACGCAAGUCAUCAGCUUGCAUUGAUUACGUCCCUGCCCUUUGUACACACCGCCCGUCGCUCCUACCGAUUGAAUGAUCCGAUGAAUACCAUGGAUUGAGAGUACGAAUGGGUUCGCUCAUUUCUGCUGCUCGAGAAGUGGAGUAAAUCUUAUCAUUUAGAGGAAGGAGAAGUCGUAACA